rnacentral:rRNA from 1 species
UGCAAUAGGGAUUGCCCUAGUAACGGCGAGUGAAGCGGCAACAGCUCAAAUUUGAAAUCUGGCUUUCGGGCCCGAGUUGUAAUUUGUAGAGGAUGAUUUUGAUGCGGUGCCUUCCGAGUUCCCUGGAACGGGACGCCAUAGAGGGUGAGAGCCCCGUCUGGUUGGAUGCCAAAUCUCUGUAAAUCUCCUUCGACGAGUCGAGUAGUUUGGGAAUGCUGCUCUAAAUGGGAGGUAUAUGUCUUCUAAAGCUAAAUACCGGCCAGAGACCGAUAGCGCACAAGUAGAGUGAUCGAAAGAUGAAAAGCACUUUGAAAAGAGAGUUAAAAAGUACGUGAAAUUGUUGAAAGGGAAGCGUUUAUGACCAGACUUGGGCUUGGUUAAUCAUCUGGGGUUCUCUCCAGUGCACUUUUCCAGUCCAGGCCAGCAUCAGUUUUCGCCGGGGGAUAAAGGCUUCGGGAAUGUGGCUCCCCUCGGGGAGUGUUAUAGCCCGUUGUGUAAUACCCUGGUGGGGACUGAGGUUCGCGCUUCUGCAAGGAUGCUGGCGUAAUGGUCAUCAACGACCCGUCUUGAAACACGGACCAAGGAGUCGUCUUCGUAUGCGAGUGUUCGGGUGUCAAACCCCUACGCGUAAUGAAAGUGAACGCAGGUGAGAGCUUCGGCGCAUCAUCGACCGAUCCUGAUGUUCUCGGAUGGAUUUGAGUAAGAGCAUACGGGGCCGGACCCGAAAGAAGGUGAACUAUGCCUGUGUAGGGUGAAGCCAGAGGAAACUCUGGUGGAGGCUCGCAGCGGUUCUGACGUGCAAAUCGAUCGUCAAACAUGGGCAUGGGGGCGAAAGACUAAUCGAACCUUCUAGUAGCUGGUUUCCGCGAGCUCCUCUCCCCCUUGUUGUUU